CNANAUAAGCAAUUACNAAGCGAAACUGCGAAUGGCUCAUUAUAUAAGUUAUCGUUUAUUUGAUAGUACCUUACUACAUGGAUAACCGUGGUAAUUCUAGAGCUAAUACAUGCUGAAAAUCCCGACUUCGGAAGGGAUGUAUUUAUUAGAUUCAAAACCAAUGCCCUUCGGGGCUCCAAUGGUGAUUCAUGAUAACUUCUCGAAUCGCACGGCCCCGCGCCGGCGAUGGUUCAUUCAAAUUUCUUCCCUAUCAACUUUCGAUGCUACGGUAGUGUCCUAGCAUGGUUGCAACGGGUAACGGGGAAUA
rnacentral:rRNA from 1 species